GUGUUCUAGUGCCGUUAUCCGGUUCUGACCCCAAGCUGGGUGCUGUACCCCUCUCAGAACUGCGGAACGAGUAAGAAGACAAAGCACAGACAGUGCAACCAAGGGGACUUUUACUCUUGGCCCAGAAGAAUGGGAGGAGUCUAGAUAAACUGCAAAUCCCGUCUGUGACCUCUUGGAGGCUGGGAGGCUAUAGCAGGGGUAUAUGGUGAUGUAGAAACAUCAUAUUGGAAGAAUGUGGCAGGACAAAACUACUUGCCUCAUAGCAACCAGACAGCAGAGAGAGAAGGGAAAGAGGCAGACGGGAAUGACUGGUGAGGAGAAAAAUAACAGAAGUAAUGAAAUCAGAAGUUUUUAUGGAUUAAUUGAAUAAACAACACCUCUUUGUACUUUUUGGCACACUGGGAUCCUGAGUGGUGAGAACUGACAGUGGAGUUGGAACCAGCUGAAGAAAGAAAGCAUUUCUCCUAGAUCCAUGUUUAACAAGAAGAAGGAGCGGGCACCAUCCCUUGUCACAUUCUUUGAAAUUAAUCUUUGGAAAGAGAUUCUCAGCCGGAAUUUUGCCUGAGGUUCUUCUUUAGAGAGCUGCUAAGUUAUAGAAAGGUUUAUACUAAGAUGUUUUUAUUUCCUUUUUCCUCGGCGGUAACAAGAAUGAAAAGAUGUGCCUCUGACAGAACACAAGGUGUUGUAUGACUAAUUAGGACACCACACCUCUAUUAGCUUUGGUUAGUCUCACUGGCUCCCAUUAAUUCUAAUAAAUCUGACAUUGCCCAGACUCCUUUCUGCCAGCAUUUAAGGAGGUGAUACGGGAAAGGUGUCCUUUUAAACUUGAGGUGAAUGCCUGUUCCGCCUGUAUCUAAAAACCUACCUUUUAAAUGCAAUGCCCCUGUUGCCAAGGUAGAGGAGACAGGUUCUGUCCAGUGGCCAUUAGGUGGUGCUGCCAACCCACAUUCAGAAGGCCACUUGGAUUCUGCUGCCUUUCCUGUGGUUCUAACGAGAAUAUUACAAGAUUCUUUCACAAAAGGUGAAAGUGGCUGAAAAUUUGCUUUCAC